GCCGGUGUAGCUCAGUUGGUAGAGCAACGCAUUCGUAACGCGUAGGUCGUGGGUUCAAAUCCCACCUUCGGCUCCA
rnacentral:tRNA from 1 species